AAUUAUAUGUAAUUAUAUAUAACUUUUUCUGCUCCAUGGGAAACUAAAUAGCCGCAGUACCCUGACUGUGCAAAGGUAGCAUAAUCAGUUGACUUAUAAUUGAAGUCUGGAAUGAAUGAAUAUACGGGUGGUGGCUGUCUUUAAAGUAAUAUAUUAAGUUAAUAAUCAAGUGCAAAUGCUUGAAAUUAUAAAAAAGACGAGAAGACCCUAGAAACUUUUAAAACAAUUUUGUUGGGGCGACAGAAUUACAAGUAACUAAUUUUACAUUACUUGAAGUAAAACGGAAAGAUAAAGUUACUCUAGGGAUAACAGCAUAAUUUUUAUAAGUUUGUGACCUCGAUGUUGGACUAGGUAAAAUAGUUUUUAGAAGAAUCUUUUUUUGCUCUGUUCGAGCAGUAACACCUACAU
rnacentral:rRNA from 1 species